GCGGGUUUCGGCGCCCGCGGUCGGCGCUGCCGUCGUGUCUAGUGCGCGCCCCUCUGACCGGCGCCAUGAGAGCGGCCUCGCCGGUGGAUCUCAUGGACAAUGCGUGCAUCAUUAACCUUCUAUAGUCCUCCGCGGCGAAUCGCAUCACGUCGCCGGCCAUCUAGCCGUUCCCCUUUGCGGUGUGCAGCAGCGCCGGCAACUCCUAUCCAUCUACCAAAGAAAGUGGCAUUAUCUUAUCCAUUCAGUAUGCAUCUUUUCCUCUUUACUGUGCGUUUGCACGAACAGAAUGAAUGGCCAUUUUGAAUCACUUGGUGACAUAAUAAUUCGUGGGAUGUAAACUUUGUCACCAAUGUUAGUACCUGUUAUGACCUGGCCUUCGAUGAAACGCUUUCCUAGCUGUGUUAUUGUUAGUCUUGUCCCAUUGCAAAGUCCUGCACUUUGAUUGAUGUUCCUCAUAAGCAUUACUGGAAUUUGACUCAUGAUGUAGGUGUUAAUCUAGUCAACAGUCUCGUUCCUUGGGCACAGGAUCGCUCUUUCCUCUAGUCUUCAUCAUCUAUUGUUGCCGUUGUGCCAUCGCCGAUGUUUAGUAUCCAGUUUGCAAAUUCAGCUGUCUUUGCUUUCUCUUUUGGACUACCUUCAGAUGAAUUCAGACGCAUAUUUUCUGAUUUGUCUGAAGUCACCUCCCAAGACUACUGUCAUUCCUCCAAACGGUCUAUGCUCGGCAUCCUCAUUUGUGAAUCGAAAAUCGAACUAUCUGGUAGUGGCAUUCCUGGAAAUUCUUUGAGGGACUUACCACCUUUAGCCAAUAGGUGUUCGAUCUCUGCCAAGAGGAGGCUCUUUAUUUGCAAUGAGAUCAGUCACCUCGCAAAAUAAAAGUAUUGUGCAGAAAAGUUGGCGCAUUUGAGGAGCAGAGGCCCAAUGGGAUGCUUCCUUGAUGCAGUCAUCCCACUCCUUGUCGUCAUUAAGUAGCCCAAGAGAAUAACAUGCAGAUUUGUAUGUUGGAUGUACAACCCCAUCAACUGUUCGGAUUUCUUCAUAGGAUCUGCAUCCUUUCACGGUAUUUAGAAGCAUUCUCAAGUAGUAUUUUUCACCGAUUGUUGGUUGUGCAUAGUAAAUCCUGCCUAUGGUUUUUUUACCACCACGUCUCUUCCUCCAUUCUUUCUCUUUUGCAUGCCAAGUCCAUUUGGUUGGAAACUGUGCAUACGUCAAACUGCGAGCUUCCUCAUGCAAUUGGUUGGCUGUCAUCCAUUCUGUGAACAUUGUAUUUUCUAUGUUAGGCCGAGAUAUGAUUUUAUCUAAAUCCAUCGAGUCUGGGAAUACCACAACAUGUUCAUUUUCUAGGUGAAAUUGUAACCUUUCAACCGCAGGCUCUCUAUACUGAAGAGGAAACUGAAAUAUGCGCCAUGCGGCUUCACAUCCAGAUAUGUACCGAGCAUCAAGCUGGAGUAUCUCUUUCCUUUUUCGUCUAGCUUCCUUCCUUGCUGCUCUGAUAAUAUCUGAUUGACUAUCAUUAGAUUCUACUGUCGCGAGCUGCGAGGUUCCUUGCUGAGGUACCGCAUUGUUUUGAAGGAUGUUGUCUGGAUCAAUCAGUUUCCUGGAAAUAUUCCUGUUCUCCUACUGAUAGUUUGCCAACAAAGAAUUGUAGAUCAUGUACAUGUGUUAUUACCUUUUAAGCAGAGGACAUACUAUAUGGUUUGUAAUUGGCAACUAAUUUUGAUGAUUGUUCAUCAAUUUCUCUGUAGUUGCAAUUAACAAAGCAUAUGUGAUGAGAUUACAGAGUUGAUGCAUAUAGUAGUGGAAGUUGGUAAUGAUUA